rnacentral:rRNA from 1 species
CAGUAGCCGCGGUAAUACGUAGGGUGAGAGCGUUAAUCGGAAUUACUGGGCGUAAAGCGUGCGCAGGCGGUUGUGUAAGACAGGUGUGAAAUCCCCGGGCUUAACCUGGGAACUGCGCUUGUGACUGCACAGCUAGAGUAUGGCAGAGGGGGGUGGAAUUCCACGUGUAGCAGUGAAAUGCGUAGAGAUGUGGAGGAACACCGAUGGCGAAGGCAGCCCCCUGGGCCAAUACUGACGCUCAUGCACGAAAGCGUGGGGAGCAAACAGGAUUAGAUACCCGCGUAGUCCCUGUCUCUUAUAC